CGCCUUUUAGCGCAGUCGAAGGAAGUUGGAAAAGUCGGCAAACAUCCACGUCGCAGUCGCGAGUCGGCAAAAAGUGAAAGGGAAGUCCACGCACGCACGCACGCACGCACGCGCGCACGCACAAAAGAAGUGUGACUUAGGACGACUCGUCUCGUGAAGGCUAUGUGGUGGCAGCCUCAGUCGCGACAUGCCAAAGCACACGUCAACUGCUUCAUAGUUGUUGUUGUUUUAAAAGCUUUUAAGAAAUGUUUUGGGUCAUUUUCAUGUCGGAAGGCUGAUCCGUGACCCAUUUUCACUGAUCUUGCUGAGAAAAGGAACUUUUUCAUCCAGGAUUUGACACUACGUCGCUCCGUUCAGCGGCCCCUUGGAUCCACAAGCUGACGAUUGCGAGACCGCCAAAAAAAUAUUUACAGUGUAUCAAAAGAUUUUUUUCAAUCGAGCGAUAAAUUUAAAUCCAUUGUAUGGCUAAAUGGAUUAAAAUGGCUUUCCACAUGA